rnacentral:lncRNA from 1 species
GUGUUUAAAAGUGUGUGGGAAGACUUGCUGAAUUUUGGUCCAAAAUGGGAUAAGAACCCACAACCAUUGCUUUGAAUAAUUAAAUGGCUUGUCUAAUGUUGUUUGGGGUUAGAAUAUGUUAGAAUACAUUAAAUUUGAUUAAUUACAAGUGCUAUAGGUGCAUGAAGAGUGUUUCGAAGUGUGGAGAAAGACUUGUUGAAAUUAAGUCCCAAAUGGGCUAAGAACUCGGAAACAUUGCGUUGAACCACUAAAUGACUUAUUUAGUGCUAUUUGGGGUUAGAAUUUGUUAGAAUACAAUCAAGUUGAUUGAUUACAAGUGAUAGAGAUUGAUGAAGAGUGUUUAAAAGUGUGUAGGAAGACUUGCUGAAAUUUGGUCCAAAAUGGGGUAAGAACCCACAACCAUUGCUUUAAAUAAUUAAAUGGCUUGUCUAAUGUUGUUUGGGUUAGAAUAUUUUAGAAUACAAUGAAUUUGAUUAAUUACAAGUGCUAGAGGUGCAUGAAGAGUGUUUCGAAGUGUGGAGAAAGACUUGUUUAAAUUAGGUCCCAAAUGGGCUAAGAACUAGGAAACAUUGCAUUGAACCACUAAAUGACUUAUCUAGAGUUGUUUGGGGUUAGAAUAUGUUAGAAUACAAUGAAUUUGAUUGAUUGCAGGUGCUAGAGAUGCAUGAAGCGUGUUUAAAAGUGUGUAGAGAGACUUGCUGAAAUUUGGUCCAAAAUGGGCUACAAACCCACAACCAUUGCUUUGAAGAAUUAAAUGGCU